rnacentral:pre_miRNA from 1 species
UUUUAAAAAUUUCAUCUUUUUGUAUUAUUAAAAGUUGACAUGAUUAAUAGAAUAAUCAGAUAUUGACACGUGAUAUGUUUUGUAUACCUCAUACUGAAAUACAAGAAUCAAUUUUUAACAGCGAAAAUAGAUAUAUUUUUAAUA